GGCAUUGUGGCUCAGUGGUAAAGCAUCUGCCUUGAAUGCAGGAAGGUCCCAGGUUCAAUCCCUGGCAUCUCCA